UUCUAUUAUGUUUGUGGAUUAAAUGUGAGUAUGUGGUGAGUUACAUACCAUGCUUUAUGAGUUGUUAAAGUCAAAAUAUGACUAAGUUAAUUGGGUUAUGGAACUCAAUUUAUAUGUGAUAUGUGAUAGCACAUGUUGUAUGAUGCAACUCGAUAAAUUAGAAAUAUAUAAUGCAUGAAUGUAUGCUUUGUAAGGAAUUAUUGAUGCAUGUAGGAUAUGCAUAGUAAAGAAUAUAUAUAUGCUAUAUACGGAUAUUCAUAGUAAAGGAAAUGUAGUGCAUAUGAAAUUGUGUGAUAUAUGAAACAUGAUAGACUGUUAAAUUUGCUGGGCUGUCGAGCUCAAUCUUGCAAACACAAAAUUUUUGCAGGUUAAUGAUGUUGAGAGAUAUUACUUGCUAUACGGAUGAUGAAGAUUGAACGAUGUGCAAAAUGAAUACAUUUCUUUGAAUUAGAAAUGGUAUAAAGCUAUGAUUGAUAGUUUUGCUAAAUGUAAUUGGCAGUUAUGUA
rnacentral:lncRNA from 1 species